GACACGGCCCGUGUCAGCUGACACGGGUGGCCGUGUCAGCUCACUGCUUCACUUGACAUGCCCCUGGGGCUUGACACCAUAUGGGAUAAGGCCUGACACGGGCCAUGUUAGGCUAUUUUUUUUUUGUUUCAUUCUCCUUCUGCCUGACACGGCGCGUGUCAGGUGACACGGGUGGCCGUGUCAGGCCUCCUGUACCGGGAUUUUUCCAUUCCUUAGCUUGCCAGAAUUCUG
rnacentral:lncRNA from 1 species